GGGACACCACCGGUAAGGUGGUAGUCUAGGGAAGAUAGAGGCUGUAAAUUUUCUGGUCAUAAAUCCUGCCAAGCAGAGCCUUGUGCUGCCAGAGGGCAUGACUUAGUAGUCUAAUUAUUAAGUGUGCAACCCCAGGCCUCCCCCAGCCCUCAGGGCACAUCUCCGGCAGUUGGGGACGGGGGAGCGGCCGGGAGAGGAACCGCACACACUCAUCCGUAGGCCCACGUUGCCCACAUUAAUGAAGUGGCAUCCUGAUGCAGACAAGUGGUUUUAUUUCUCUUGAGCUUCUGCUGUGUCAUAUUUGGGGGUGUUUUUAUUACACGUAU
rnacentral:lncRNA from 1 species